AGGGUUCGAUUCUGGCUCAGGAUGAACGCUGGCGGCGUGCUUAACACAUGCAAGUCGAACGGGAUCCAUCAGGCUUUGCUUGGUGGUGAGAGUGGCGAACGGGUGAGUAAUGCGUGACCGACCUGCCCCAUACACCGGAAUAGCUCCUGGAAACGGGUGGUAAUGCCGGAUGCUCCGACUCCUCGCAUGGGGUGUCGGGAAAGAUUUCAUCGGUAUGGGAUGGGGUCGCGUCCUAUCAGGUAGUCGGCGGGGUAACGGCCCACCGAGCCUACGACGGGUAGCCGGCCUGAGAGGGCGACCGGCCACAUUGGGACUGAGAUACGGCCCAGACUCCUACGGGAGGCAGCAGUGGGGAAUAUUGCACAAUGGGCGCAAGCCUGAUGCAGCGACGCCGCGUGCGGGAUGACGGCCUUCGGGUUGUAAACCGCUUUUGAUCGGGAGCAAGCCUUCGGGUGAGUGUACCUUUCGAAUAAGCACCGGCUAACUACGUGCCAGCAGCCGCGGUAAUACGUAGGGUGCAAGCGUUAUCCGGAAUUAUUGGGCGUAAAGGGCUCGUAGGCGGUUCGUCGCGUCCGGUGUGAAAGUCCAUCGCUUAACGGUGGAUCUGCGCCGGGUACGGGCGGGCUGGAGUGCGGUAGGGGAGACUGGAAUUCCCGGUGUAACGGUGGAAUGUGUAGAUAUCGGGAAGAACACCAAUGGCGAAGGCAGGUCUCUGGGCCGUUACUGACGCUGAGGAGCGAAAGCGUGGGGAGCGAACAGGAUUAGAUACCCUGGUAGUCCACGCCGUAAACGGUGGAUGCUGGAUGUGGGGCCCGUUCCACGGGUUCCGUGUCGGAGCUAACGCGUUAAGCAUCCCGCCUGGGGAGUACGGCCGCAAGGCUAAAACUCAAAGAAAUUGACGGGGGCCCGCACAAGCGGCGGAGCAUGCGGAUUAAUUCGAUGCAACGCGAAGAACCUUACCUGGGCUUGACAUGUUCCCGA
rnacentral:rRNA from 1 species